rnacentral:lncRNA from 1 species
UAGAAAUAAAACUUAUUUGCUUAUUAAAGGGUUAAUUAUAAUAAUGAAAAAAAAAAUAGUAAACAAUAGCUGUUUUUAAUUUAUAAGUUUAUGAUAAAAAUAAAUAAUUAUUCUUAUUUAGUCUAAUCCAACACUACGCCCAGCAAAUCCAUUUGAUGCACAACGUGAUGCAGAAAUAUUGCGUAAAGCUAUGAAAGGAAUUGGAACAGAUGAAAAAGCAAUCAUACAGGUCUUGGCUCACAGAGUCAAUUCUCAACGACAGCAAAUUGCUAUUCAAUUUAAGACUAUGUAUGGCAAAGUAAGUGGUUGGAAUAAUAAUCAUCGUAUUUGUUGUUGGAUAUAAUUUUUUACUAAAAUAAUUAUAUUAUAUUUUUUUGAAUAAAAUGUUUGAUUAUAUCAACCAGGAUUUAAUAGACAAUCUGAAAAGUGAAUUGGGUGGAAAGUUAGAAGACUUAAUUGUAGCACUCAUGACACCAACUUAUGAUUUUCUUGCUAGUGAAUUACAUUAUGCUGUUGAUGGUAUUGGCACUUGCGAAGAAACAAUAAUUGAAAUUAUAUGCUCGGCGUCUAAUGCUGAGAUCAAUAAUAUAAAAAUGGCAUACCACAAAUGUCAGUUAAUUUAAUUUUAAACAAAUGUUAAUUUAUUUAUUUUAUAAACUGAUAUAAAUAUUAUCAUUUUCUAUAGUAUUUGGUAAUGAUUUAGAGAAAGAUCUAAAAGGAGAAACAUCUGGGACUUUCCGCAGACUAUUAGUUUCUCUUUGUCAGGUUUGUUAUUUUUUAAAUAAUAACAUAUAUUUUUUUUCAAAUGAUAAUAAUUAUUUAUAUAGGGACGCCGCAGUGAAAACACACAUAUUGAUGUUGCAUCUGCUCAAACUGAUGCACAAAACUUGUUACAAGCAGGUAAAUAGUUGAAAAAUGUAUAUAAUUAUAAAUUAUUAAUUAUACAUGAAAAUAUUUAAUUAACUAUUGUAAUUUUAUAGGUCAACUUCAGUUUGGUACUGAUGAAUCUACAUUCAACAUGAUUUUGUGCAGUCGUAGUUACUCUCAAUUAGAACAGGUAUUUUUGGAAUAUCACCGUUUAACUGGUCGAGAUUUCGAAGACACUAUCAAGAGUGAAUUUAGUGGAGACAUUGAAAAGGGACUACGAGCAAUUGGUAUGAACUUUUAUAAGUAUUAUUUAGAUUUUCUCUCUUAAAUAUUUUAUACUAUAAUAGCAAAUGUAUUGUAUAUUUUUUUAGUUAAAUCUGUAAGAAACAAAAGUGCAUAUUAUGCUAAACGCUUACAUGAAUGUAUGGAUGGUUUUGGUACACACGACAGAGCUUUGAUUCGUAUUGUUGCUACUCGUUGCGAAAUAGAUAUGGUUGACAUAAAAAAUGCUUACAUGUCAAUGUAUGGAAAGUCUUUGGAAGCUGAUAUUGCGGUAAGGAUUUUAUUUCAUUAAUUUUUGUACUUUUGUACUAAAUUCUAUUAUUUAAAUUAUUAUUUUCCAAAAUUAACAUUAGUAUGCAUAGUCAAAAAAAAAAAAUCUAUUUAUCAUUUAACACAAAAAUACAUACAUGAAUGUAGUCACAUUAUUUUAUAAAAAUUAUUUUGCUAAAUUCAAACUGUUUAUAGUUUAUAUAAAAGUAUACCCGCUAAACUAAUUUACAAUUAAAUUGAUGUUAUCUUUUUUUAAUCAAUAUUAAGAAUUAAAUAAUUAAUUUCUACAAUGGUUUACAAAAAAUAUUAAAAUUGCAUUAUCUUUUGUUUAUGUCAAUCAACAGUCUGAUACAUUUAUGGUGAGUUGUGCAAUUAUAGUAGAUGAAAAAUAGUUUACC